AGCAGCGUGGCUCAGUGGAAAGAGCCCGGGCUUGGGAGUCAGAGAGCAUGGGUUCGAAUCCCGGCUCUGCCA
rfam:Ornithorhynchus anatinus chromosome X5, whole genome shotgun sequence.